rnacentral:rRNA from 1 species
UACGUAGGGUGCGAGCGUUAAUCGGAAUUACUGGGCGUAAAGCGUGCGCAGGCGGUUUCGUAAGACAGAUGUGAAAUCCCCGGGCUUAACCUGGGAACUGCGUUUAUGACUGCGAGACUUGAGUGCGGCAGAGGGGGGUGGAAUUCCACGUGUAGCAGUGAAAUGCGUAGAGAUGUGGAGGAACACCGACGGCGAAGGCAGCCCCCUGGGUCGACACUGACGCUCAUGCACGAAAGCGUGGGGAGCAAACAGG